UACGUAGGGUGCAAGCGUUGUCCGGAAUUAUUGGGCGUAAAGAGCUCGUAGGCGGUCUGUUACGUCGGCUGUGAAAACCUGGGGCUCAACCCCGGGCCUGCAACCGAUACUGGCAGACUAGAAUUCGGUAGGGGAGACUGGAAUUCCUGGUGUAGCGGUGGAAUGCGCAGAUAUCAGGAGGAACACCGGUGGCGAAGGCGGGUCUCUGGGCCGAGAUUGACGCUGAGGAGCGAAAGCGUGGGGAGCAAACAGG
rnacentral:rRNA from 1 species